rnacentral:lncRNA from 1 species
UUGACUGCACAAGGCGGAAUGCUUAAUCCCAUUGAGCUUGUGUUUUCUCACUUUGAAAGUGGGACUGAUAGACCAACACUCCGUGAGCCUUCCAAAGCUAGACCAACAGGAAGAGACUGUCACUCCAGGCACUGGAGCAGCACAAGGCUGAUGAAAACAAACCAGGACAAACACAAAUACUCAGCAGGGAGGGCUGAGGGAAGGGGCGGUUUGUAGCUCAGUGGUAUAGCGCUUUCCUCUGCACCCUGUAUUUCUAUGGGUUCCGAGAAGAGAUUUGCAAAUUCUUUACAGACAGAGCCAGGAGAGAUGAACUCUACAGCUUUCCCAGAGUAAAACACUAACCCGCAUCCCCACAUGGAGACCAAAAAUGAAAUGCAAGACUUCUACAGGAGGCAUGGGUUAUAGCCUCUGGCAUCAGGGCAAAUGCUGCUUGGAAACACAUGAUCUUCUGUUCUCUGGGCCCUGUUUUGGCUUUAGUAAGAGUUUCUAAUUACUGAGUGUUUAUUCGGGGCCAGGGUUAGAUGGAGCAAGUGCAUCAUCUCCGCUCAAACAGGGAAAACCAAGACUUGACACAGCGGUCAAGGUCCAGCGUGUCCGACAGAGUGGGCUGUGGUUGUCCUUCGCUUCAGUCUACCAGUACCUCUGUAUUAUUAACCCUGUAGAAUUGACUGGCCCCCAUCCCGUAUCUGGCCCCGUGGCUCCCCAAAUUCCCACGUAAGGACUGAGAGGGGAGUAAACUUUUUCUUGUAAGCUCCCACCUCAGCUCAUUUGGAAAUUCCCCCACUUUCCCCUGCCUGGGGUGUGAAUGGUCUUCCCCUUCAUUAAGCUUGACCACGAGAUGCGGCCUGAAUCUGGAACAUGCACAUCACUCUGAAAACGUCUGCCAUCUCCCCUUUAGUGUGGACGUUCUCUGUGUAAGCCAGCGUCUCUCCGCAGGCCUUCCUUCCAACUCUGAAUUCUUCCUCUGGUGCGUAUGGCCUGGAAACACUGUGUAGCGUGCUGGGCUCUACCUCUCUCCAAGUCUCCUCUCUGUAGCUCUCACCCCCUAAACUUCUGAGCACUGUUGGUCUCCUGAGGUCUUAGUUCUAAGUUUGUUUUUAGAUAGCAGUGGAUCUCUGUGGGUGAAGAUAGGGCAGAGAACUCCUAUUCAUUGGACUUGACUCAUUUCACAGAUUAGAAACCAAGGUGAAGUGGUUUGUCCAGUGUCAGUGUGGAGAACUGUCUAUUGUUACAGUUGCUUGCUUAAUCUCACACCCAUUGCUCUGUGACUUAUAGUGUCCACUUGCAAGAGAGAUGUGGUUUCCUGUUAUACUGGCGUGGAGCUUGGCCAUGGGGCAUGCUUUAGACAGUGGUCUAAUGGGGGCAUACUUUGUAUUGACUUGGUAGCUUUAAGAGCAAUUGCUUGGUAUGGGUAUUGUUCUUUUUUUUUUUUCUUUUGUUGCCAUAAGAUUAAGAAAAGGCCAUUUCUUGGGAUGGAAAAGACAUAUGGAACAGAGCCACAGGAAAUUGCUAUAACAUGUAGUGUUAGCAAGAACGAAGUGUUGAAGAUGCUUGGGGCUGCUUGUUAUUGCAGCUUUAUAUAGCAAAAGCUGACUAAUACAUAAUUAUACUAGUUAUUAGGACUAAUAAUUAGUUAUAAACUAAUAAGUCACUUGGCUAAUCUGGAAUUUGCCUAUUUCUUCCACAGAUUUCAGUCUUCCCUAAUAUUCUGCUGUCCAAUGAUGAUCUUGUCAUGGACUGUCUGUGUUGGUUAGUUUUCUGUUGCUAUGGUAACAUUAAGACCAAGGUAACUUUCUGAAGAGAGCAUUUGUCUGGGCUUUACAGUUCUAGAAGAUUAGAUCCACGAUGGUAGAACAAAGGCACCAGGAGCGUAAAGAUGGGGACUCAACCUUGGACCACAAGCAGGAAGCAGAGAGGGCAGGCUAGAAAUGGUUCCGGUUUUAAACUCCCAAAGCUGCCCUCCAAGUGACAUACUUCCUUUAUUAAUGCCACACCCCCUGAGCCUCCACAAACAGUGCCGUUAAAAUGGGACCAAGACUUGAAAUGCUGAGACCACAGGGGACCUUUAAUCCAAGUGCCAUCCUGUCUUCUCUCAAAAGAGAAAUCUUUUUGAAAAAUGGUUUCAGGGUUUACUAUUCUAAAAUAUUUCUGAAGAAAAAAUUUAUUACCCUAUGGAAGGAAAAACAAUAUCAUCAUGAAAGAAUAUCUAUAGCCAUGUUAUGAAAUAAUUAGUCACUAUAGAAGUGAAUGUCUAUGGCCAUAUUAAGAAAGUCUAGUUAGGUGAUUUUAGUACAAAGAUCUGAAUUUUCUCCUUCCUCCUUCCUUCCCUUCUUUUCUCCCUCCCUCCCUGCCUCCCUCCCUCCCUUUCUUCUUUCCUACUCCCUCCCUUCCUUCUUUCCUUCCUGUUGCUUUAUUUAUUUUAUUUUUUUUGAGACAAAGUUUUCCUAUGAGGCCUUGACUGACCUGGAACUCCUAGAGAUCCACCUGCCCCGCCUCUUCAGUGCUGGGUCAGUUGGAAAAGCCAUUCUUGUAACCAGACAUGCUUUCCUUUCCCUAGCCUCUGGGGCCCUUAGGGUAGAGGCUGACUUGUGUCUGUCUUUCUGUCCAUGUGACCGCCACACAAAAGUGUUCAAGUAGAUGACACGGAGGAUCUGUGAUCUGUGCUGCAGCCUCUCUGCCUGGUUGGUAUCUAGUGCUUGAGUUCACCAAGCUUGGUUUGCUGCUCAAUGUCAUCAUGGAUGCCAGAGGGCAUACAUCUCACUGUGUGUCGUCCCCUCCAUGGUGCUACUCACUGGUCCCUUCUUAUCAUUUCUUUCAGCGGAAGGUGUCACUUCCCCCAGCCUUCCCCAGCUACCUUUCCCCAGCUUCUUCAUUUCCUCACUGUCUCUUGCGAUACCUGUGCUCGAGUGGUCAGCGCGUCUUCCUCUUCUAACAUGUAGCUCUAUCAUGUUCUCUAUUUUUCUCUUCUGAGAUGGUGGCUGUCACACAGUGGGUGUUCAACACUUGCACAUUACUCAAGAGAUACUGAAAAAAGGCCCACCACAGUUCUUGUUGUCCCAGGCUCUGGUACAGUAGCCACCCCUGUUCUGGGAAAUGGUCCCUUGCUGACUAGGUCAGCAGGAACUGGCAAUGUCCCCAUGAUAGCAUUUUCCUCACAGCUGCCUCCCCCCCCCCAAGUGCAUGAGACCUUGAUGCAUUUCAAAGAAGACAUUCGAAUUCACAAGUGAUAGAAACUCACUUUGGCCAGCUUAACGUCUGGGAAGUGGCCACCUGCUUGUGCCUCAGUUUUCUUUCCUACAAAAAGAGGAGGGAGUAUAAUAAAUAUUAGCUGCCUCCCGGGGUCUUCAGGAAAAGGAUAUGACUUAGUAUAUGUAUAGCACUUGUGAUAAGUGUUAAACUAAGCACAUAGGAAACAUCUCUGAAAUGCUGUUUGCCCCUGUUGUCACUGGUGGUCAGGACAUGUUAAUGAAGAACAGCAAGGGCCUCUGGGUUUCAUGGAUAGAACCAGCCAACCAUCAAGGAGAUUUUCUGUUCUCUGCCAUGGCAUUAAGCUGCUUUGGUUCAUACAGGCCUCUGUUAUUCUUCUUUCUGGGCUUGUCAUUCUGUAAACACUGCUGUUUCUGGCCACAUCCUUCACACUUACUCCCCAAGUGGCAUACAUAGCUGCUCUUGGGUUUAAUUCUAAGGUUUUGGGAUAAAUCAAUGAGCCUUCCCCAGGUCAGAGGUCUGUCCCUGGAACAGUCAGUUGUGGCUGGGGCCUCUUGUCAUGGGAGGCACUCUAGAUGAGAUUCCUUCUUGUAGGCGAGAAGGGAAUUCUGCCAGGAGUGGACAGAGCUGCAAAGCGUGCCAGCUGGAGGUGGCUGCAGUCUUUCUGCGCUAAGGGCUUGCCUUCCUAUUCCAUCCCAUAUCCUUUCUUCUUACCUCUCCUCCCCCUUCCCUUCCCUUCUCUUCCUCUUUGCUUUUUUACUCUGUUCUUCCUCCCUUUUCUCCCCCUUCUCUUCUUGUCUUGUUAUAUCUCCCAGGCUGACCACAAAGCCUUCUCUCUUAGCUUGGUAUCUCACACCAUCCUGCCUGGCUCACUUUGCCUGCUUUUUAAUUCUGUCCAACACCCACACCCACACGGUCUCACCAAUAUUAUUGUUUUUAAAUACUCCCCGGUGCGUUUACCCCUAAUUGCUCUAGCUUCUUGCUUUCUGCUUUUGUAAACCACUUGGCUGUUUCCUGAUCUUAUAUUUGGCUGUCGUGAAUGUGGAAACUUCACAGAACCCUAGACUUUCCAAGUUGGAAGAGAAAACUGCUUUUCUAUGCUUGCAAUAAACAAACAAACACCUACAGCCAUCCCCUCCCAUAGUCACUGAAAUCAUAUUAGACUCAGCAUUCAGUUCCACACCUUUCUGAUGUAAUUAAUAGUGUCUGACUUCCAUGUUGGAACAAAGAAGUGGUUACAUAGAACCCCAUCACAUAAUAUACCAAGAGUUCAAGUCACUCACAGUGUCCAUUCUUAUGACUUGAGUAUAAAUGUCCCUCAAGCUCACAAGUUUGAAUAAUUAGUCUGGGACUGGUGGUGCUAUUUUGGGAGGUUGUGGUACUUUUUGAAGGUGGAACCUUGUUAGAGGAAGUUGGUCUCAGGGGGUGGGACUUGUGGUUGAUAGCCAGGUCCCACUUCUUGUCCUGGCUUUGCUACCUAACCUGUCCAGAUGUGGGCAAGCCCCCAUUGCCACAGCCAAUGCCCACUGCUUUUGCUGCCAGGAAGGGCUGAGCCCCUUAAACUGUGAAUGAACCCCCACCCUGAGGUGCUUCUUGUCAAGUAUUUGGUCACAGCAAGGAAAAAAGUCACUAUUUGUGGUUGUAAACAACAGGUUCCAAAAACCCAUGAGGGGGUCUUCCUUCCCUUCAUCUAGAUCCUGCUUCUAAUAGAGACUGCCCACCACAUCCCAUUGUCUAGAUUAGGUGUUCAAAUCCUUAUUCCUCCAGGAGCAAAGCAGCUAUCUUAAACAGGUAUAAGAAAUACCUGGAAACAAACCUUAGAGUGUUCUUCUCUCAUAUGGAAAAAUAGAGAAUUCAAUGGUCCAUGUCCUUGUAGCCUAUAGCCUUUACCUCUUUCACUGAGAUGUGCCUUGUUUUCUUUUUACUGUACUAUGGGGAAAACAUCAGUACAAGGAUGAUGUAGUUUGGCGAUGAUAACCAGUUUUGGUUAUAUAGAGGCAUCAGGGAGUGGUGGAGACUGUGGCAAAGUCCAGGGAAUGUACCUGACUUGACAGAAUGACCACGGCUGAGUUCAGGUUAGUGGUUGCCAAUAUGGUAAUACAGGCCCAGUACUGUCUUCCUUCCCUCCCUUCCUUUCUUUUCCAAGAGAGACACAAAUUAAAAUAUCAAUGGGAACUUUCCUAAUUUCAUAAUGUCGUGCUGAUAUAUUUUUUUAAAAAGAAACUAAAAAAC